AUGUGGGUAGACCGUGUAGCGCCUGAGUCCAUAUGAAGAUGAACUGAAGCUAAUAGUGUUAACUUCAUAUGGACUCAGGCGCUACACGGUCUACCCACAU